rnacentral:rRNA from 1 species
CCUACGGGAGGCAGCAGUGGGGAAUCUUGCGCAAUGGACGGAAGUCUGACGCAGCGACGCCGCGUGGGUGAUGAAGGCCUUCGGGUUGUAAAGCCCUGUGGGGAGGGACGAAUUAGCGCCGGCCAAUACCCGGCGUGAUGACGGUACCUCCUUAGCAAGCACCGGCUAACUCUGUGCCAGCAGCCGCGGUAAGACAGAGGGUGCAAACGUUGUUCGGAAUUACUGGGCGUAAAGCGCGUGUAGGCGGCCGCGCAAGUCGGAUGUGAAAGCCCUCGGCUCAACUGGGGAAGUGCACCCGAAACUGCGUGGCUAGAGUCUCGGAGAGGAUCGUGGAAUUCUCGGUGUAGAGGUGAAAUUCGUAGAUAUCGAGAGGAACACCGGUGGCGAAGGCGGCGAUCUGGACGAAGACUGACGCUGAGACGCGAAAGCGUGGGGAGCAAACAGGAUUAGAUACCCUGGUAGUCCACGCCGUAAACGAUGGGUGCUAGGUGUCGCGGGCUUUGACCCCUGCGGUGCCGCAGCUAACGCAUUAAGCACCCCGCCUGGGGAGUACGGCCGCAAGGCUAAAACUCAAAGGAAUUGACGG